rnacentral:lncRNA from 1 species
CCCCUUCCCAAAAAUCUGAGUAUCACAAAAACUAAACAAAAUCAAAUCUCAAUAGCAAGAAGACGGUAGAUUUAGGUGAUUUUCUUUUCUGUUGAAAAGACAAGUAUUGUGAAGCAAGUUGGUGCCAAAUACAUGGUAGUUGAUCUUCAUCAUUGUUUGAUACUGAAAUGCUGAAAUGUGGAGUCUAACGGCCUUGUACUGAAGAAGAAAGAAGUAGACAGAUUUAUUAGUAAACCCCUAGUAAAGCAAAUCAGAGGGAGUCAUUAUUGGAGAAAAUGGGAUGGGGAAGGGCGGCAGCAAAUCAGAGGGAGUAUAGCAUUAUUGAAGAAAAUGGGAUGGGGAAGGGCGACAUACGAAGGAGUAACUGCAGUUGGAUCAUUAUCCUUACUGGAUUGGACAUGUUUAUGGUUCUUGAAUCGCAGAUUGUACAAAGAGUAUGAAGAGAAGAGAGUACUUGUUCAGAUCAUCUUCAGUGUUGUUUUCGCUUUC